CUCCUCUUUGAUAGGUUAUUAUUUUAUAUUUUGUAUGUAUUUCGUCAUAUAGGGUAGUAGUGGAAGUCCUCACGCUGAUGAAAAUUUGCGUUACCAUCUUUGGCACUGAUGAGGCUCUCUAGGAAGCUUAGGUGGGAUUUUCGGCUUGGGAUUGAUUUUUGGGGGAAACUAUCAAGAUAAUCCCUGUGAGAUUUACAUCGGAUUUCUUGGAUCCAAAUUGUAAGAGUUUAGCUGUUUUGAAAUUUUAGGGCAUGAGGAAAAUUUGGGCAAUCUGCAACAAGUUUUGUGGGACUGUUAAUAUGGUUUACAACAGCUGUGUUUGGCCAAUUAAAAUCUACUACUGCAUUAUUUUGCACAAUGGUUAACCGAUUAUUGCAACGAGGAGAAGACAUGGGUUUUCUCACGAGGCAUAGACAAGGUCCCCCAAUUGUUUGUCAGGAUGCCUCAAAGAGACGUGUUCUCAUGGAUUGCAAUGAUUGCAGGAUAUGCACAUAAUGGAUUUCCUGAAAAAUCUUUAGAGUAGGUAUGAAGCCAGCCUGCACUACCUUUACCAGCAUUCUCCCUACUUGUGCCAAAAUGGGAGCUUUAGAAUGGACAUGGAAAUCCAUCGAAGCGUAAAGUUGUAGUUGCAGCUGCCUUGAUAUAUAUGUAUGCAAAAUGUGGAAGCAUUGAUAAGGCAUGUGAACUGUUUGACAAAAUAUCUCAAAGAAAUGUAAUUUUAUGGAAAGUUAUGAUUGCGGGAAAUGCACAAAAUGGGUUUGGUGAAAAAGCUCUAGGAACUUUCAAGCAAAUUCCAUUGGCAGGUGUAAAGCCAAUUCCACAACCAUUGACAGCAUCAUCUCUGCCUGUGCCAAAAUGGGAGCUUUAGAACAGCGUAUGGACAUACAUAAAAGCACAACGAAGAGAGAAAUAUUGUCAACUGUUGUAGUUGCAACUGGCCUGGUAGACGUGUAUGCAAAAUGUGGAGGCAUUGACAAGACAAGUGAACUGUUCUAAAGAAUACCUCAAAGAAGUGUGAUUUCAUGGAAUGCCAUGAUUGCAGGAUAUGCUCAAACUAGAUUUGUUGGUAAGGCAUUUGAAACUUUCAAGCAAAUGCACUUGGAAGGUGUUAAGCCAAAUUCUACAACCUUUGCCACAAUUCUCCCUGCCUGUGUCAAAAUGGGAGCUUUGGAAUAGGGUAUGGACAUCCUUCAAAUCAUAAAGGGUAGAGGAGUUUUGUCAGAGCUGUUUCUUUGCUUUCAAUUUAUGUGGCUAAUUGGUGACA